UACGUAGGGUGCGAGCGUUAAUCGGAAUUACUGGGCGUAAAGCGUGCGCAGGCGGUUCGUUGUGUCGGUGGUGAAAUCCCCGGGCUCAACCUGGGAACUGCAUUUGUGACUGCAUGGCUAGAGUACGGUAGAGGGGGAUGGAAUUCCGGCGUGUAGCAGUGAAAUGCGUAGAGAUGCGGAGGAACACCGAUGGCGAAGGCAGCCCCCUGGGCUAACACUGACGCUCAGGCACGAAAGCGUGGGGAGCAAACAGG
rnacentral:rRNA from 1 species